UGGGGAAUCUUGCACAAUGGAGGAAACUCUGAUGCAGCGACGCCGCGUGAGCGAUGAAGCCCUUCGGGGUGUAAAGCUCUUUCGACGGGAACGAUAAUGACGGUACCCGGAGAAGAAGCUGCGGCUAACUACGUGCCAGCAGCCGCGGUAAUACGUAGGCAGCGAGCGUUGUUCGGAAUUACUGGGCGUAAAGAGUGUGUAGGUGGUGCUCUAAGUUUGGUGUGAAAUCUCCCGGCUUAACUGGGAGGGUGCAUCGAAAACUGGAGUGCUUGAGUAUGGGAGAGGCAAGCGGAAUUCCUGGUGUAGCGGUGAAAUGCGUAGAUAUCAGGAGGAACACCUGUGGUGUAGACAGCUUGCUGGACCAUUACUGACACUGAGACACGAAAGCGUGGGUAGCAAACAGGAUUAGAUACCCUGGUAGUCCACGCCCUAAACGAUGCAUACUUGGUGUGAGCCAUUCAUUUGGCUCGUGCCGGAGCUAACGCGUUAA
rnacentral:rRNA from 1 species